CGAAUGGGGAAACCCAGUGUGAUUCGUCACACUAUCAUUAACUGAAUCCAUAGGUUAAUGAGGCGAACCGGGGGAACUGAAACAUCUAAGUACCCCGAGGAAAAGAAAUCAACCGAGAUUCCCCCAGUAGCGGCGAGCGAACGGGGAGGAGCCCAGAGCCUGAAUCAGCAUGUGUGUUAGUGGAAGCGUCUGGAAAGGCGCGCGAUACAGGGUGACAGCCCCGUACACAAAAGCGCAUGUGCUGUGAGCUCGAUGAGUAGGGCGGGACACGUGGUAUCCUGUCUGAAUAUGGGGGGACCAUCCUCCAAGGCUAAAUACUCCUGACUGACCGAUAGUGAACCAGUACCGUGAGGGAAAGGCGAAAAGAACCCCGGCGAGGGGAGUGAAAAAGAACCUGAAACCGUGUACGUACAAGCAGUGGGAGCACAGGUUUACCUGUGUGACUGCGUACCUUUUGUAUAAUGGGUCAGCGACUUAUAUUCUGUAGCAAGGUUAACCGUAUAGGGGAGCCGGAGGGAAACCGAGUCUUAAUUGGGCGUUAAGUUGCAGGGUAUAGACCCGAAACCCGGUGAUCUAGCCAUGGGCAGGUUGAAGGUUGGGUAACACUAACUGGAGGACCGAACCGACUAAUGUUGAAAAAUUAGCGGAUGACCUGUGGCUGGGGGUGAAAGGCCAAUCAAACCGGGAGAUAGCUGGUUCUCCCCGAAAGCUAUUUAGGUAGCGCCUCGUGAAUUCAUCUCCGGGGGUAGAGCACUGUUUCGGCUAGGGGGCCAUCCCGGCUUACCAACCCGAUGCAAACUGCGAAUACCGGAGAAUGUUAUCACGGGAGACACACGGCGGGUGCUAACGUCCGUCGUGAAGAGGGAAACAACCCAGACCGCCAGCUAAGGUCCCAAAGUCAUGGUUAAGUGGGAAACGAUGUGGGAAGGCCCAGACAGCCAGGAUGUUGGCUUAGAAGCAGCCAUCAUUUAAAGAAAGCGUAAUAGCUCACUGGUCGAGUCGGCCUGCGCGGAAGAUGUAACGGGGCUAAACCAUGCACCGAAGCUGCGGCAGCGAACGUAUCACCCAAGACAACUUUACGGAGUUGACGAUUGACGGAGCGAAGCGACGUCAAAGCGUUCAUUAAAGUCGAGUUGGCUUAGGGAUACGUUCGUUGGGUAGGGGAGCGUUCUGUAAGCCUGUGAAGGUGUGUCGUGAGGCAUGCUGGAGGUAUCAGAAGUGCGAAUGCUGACAUAAGUAACGAUAAAGCGGGUGAAAAGCCCGCUCGCCGGAAGACCAAGGGUUCCUGUCCAACGUUAAUCGGGGCAGGGUGAGUCGACCCCUAAGGCGAGGCCGAAAGGCGUAGUCGAUGGGAAACGGGUUAAUAUUCCCGUACUUGGUGUUACUGCGAAGGGGGGACGGAGAAGGCUAUGUUGGCCGGGCGACGGUUGUCCCGGUUUAAGCGUGUAGGUGUGUGUUCCAGGUAAAUCCGGUUCACUUUAACACUGAGGCGUGACGACGAGGCACUACGGUGCUGAAGCAACAAAUGCCCUGCUUCCAGGAAAAGCCUCUAAGCAUCAGGUAACAUCAAAUCGUACCCCAAACCGACACAGGUGGUCAGGUAGAGAAUACCAAGGCGCUUGAGAGAACUCGGGUGAAGGAACUAGGCAAAAUGGUGCCGUAACUUCGGGAGAAGGCACGCUGACACGUAGGUGAAGUGAUUUACUCAUGGAGCUGAAGUCAGUCGAAGAUACCAGCUGGCUGCAACUGUUUAUUAAAAACACAGCACUGUGCAAACACGAAAGUGGACGUAUACGGUGUGACGCCUGCCCGGUGCCGGAAGGUUAAUUGAUGGGGUCAGCGCAAGCGAAGCUCCUGAUCGAAGCCCCGGUAAACGGCGGCCGUAACUAUAACGGUCCUAAGGUAGCGAAAUUCCUUGUCGGGUAAGUUCCGACCUGCACGAAUGGCGUAAUGAUGGCCAGGCUGUCUCCACCCGAGACUCAGUGAAAUUGAACUCGCUGUGAAGAUGCAGUGUACCCGCGGCAAGACGGAAAGACCCCGUGAACCUUUACUAUAGCUUGACACUGAACAUUGAGCCUUGAUGUGUAGGAUAGGUGGGAGGCUUUGAAGUGUGGACGCCAGUCUGCAUGGAGCCGACCUUGAAAUACCACCCUUUAAUGUUUGAUGUUCUAACGUGGACCCGUAAUCCGGGUUGCGGACAGUGUCUGGUGGGUAGUUUGACUGGGGCGGUCUCCUCCUAAAGAGUAACGGAGGAGCACGAAGGUUGGCUAAUCCUGGUCGGACAUCAGGAGGUUAGUGCAAUGGCAUAAGCCAGCUUGACUGCGAGCGUGACGGCGCGAGCAGGUGCGAAAGCAGGUCAUAGUGAUCCGGUGGUUCUGAAUGGAAGGGCCAUCGCUCAACGGAUAAAAGGUACUCCGGGGAUAACAGGCUGAUACCGCCCAAGAGUUCAUAUCGACGGCGGUGUUUGGCACCUCGAUGUCGGCUCAUCACAUCCUGGGGCUGAAGUAGGUCCCAAGGGUAUGGCUGUUCGCCAUUUAAAGUGGUACGCGAGCUGGGUUUAGAACGUCGUGAGACAGUUCGGUCCCUAUCUGCCGUGGGCGCUGGAGAACUGAGGGGGGCUGCUCCUAGUACGAGAGGACCGGAGUGGACGCAUCACUGGUGUUCGGGUUGUCAUGCCAAUGGCACUGCCCGGUAGCUAAAUGCGGAAGAGAUAAGUGCUGAAAGCAUCUAAGCACGAAACUUGCCCCGAGAUGAGUUCU
rnacentral:rRNA from 1 species